UUAAGUUCAGGGGGUAUCCCUACCUGAUCUGAGGCCAAGCUGUAAAAUAAAUCGUUCAGUUGGCAGACAUCUAUACAGUUGCUUUAACGAGAAAUUACUUACUACGUCUUACAAGCUGAAAUAGCGUCGCCAAUAACUUAAAGGAGAGAGGCACUGCCACUUCUCCCAAUACCAAACCAAGGUUUGAUUCAUUUAUUGAC
rnacentral:misc_RNA from 1 species